CCUACCUGGUUGAUCCUGCCAGUAAUCAUAUGCUUGUUUCAAAGAUUAAGCCAUGCAUGUCUAAGUCCAAGCUGUGUCUAACAUGGCGAUACCGCGGACGGCUCAUUAAAUCAGUCUUGGUCCAUAUGGGUCUGUGAUCACUAUACCUGGAUAACUGUGGUAAUUCCAGAGCUAAUACAUGCAACCGAUAUCCCGAUGGCGUCUUGCUCUCUUGUAGGGCAUGUUCGUUUUGACGGAUGCUUUUAUUAGACCAAACCGCUGAGGGCGUGCGUUGCUUCUUGCAACCUCCUCGCUCGACUCGCUUAAUGGUGACUCUGGAUAACCUUUUUGACAAGCGCACGUACCACUCAUUGAGAUGGACGGCGCUACCACUUUCGAGUGUCUGCCUUAUCAGCUGUCAACCGUUCGUUAUGUGCGACCGAUGGCUUUGACGGGUAACGGAGAAUCAGGGUUCGAUUCCGGAGAGGCAGCCUGAGAAACGGCUACCACGUCCAAGGACGGCAGCAGGCACGCAAAUUACCCAAUCCCAGCACCUGGGGGAGGUAGUGACGAAAUCUAACGAUGCGGGCGCCCUUUCUGGGGCCCCGCAAUCGGAAUGGGCACUUUCUAAACAACCUGUUGAGAACCUACUGAAGGGCAAGUCUGGUGCCAGCAGCCGCGGUAAUUCCAGCUUCAGCAGCAUCUAUUAAAGUUGCUGCGGUUAAAAGGCUCGCAGUUGAAUGUCAGUAUCGAGCGCAGGUCAGGUGGACGUUGGGGCGUGGGAAUAAAAGGUGUGCGUUCAGACGCGACUUGUGCUUUCGGGUGCAGUCUCAACGUUUGGCGUGCAUCUCUCACGAGCCCCCGUCCGUUGACAAGCCUCCUCGCUUGUGUACAUAUCGGAAUUGGUCAAUUGGAGUGUGCGUGGUUCUUGAUCUUGUGCGGUUUUCCGUGCUUGCGUUGAGGGCUCGUACAUUAAGCUCCUUCGGUUUCAUAUUCACCUUGAGUAAAUCAGAGUGCUCAAAGCAGUCGUAGGGGCGUAAGCCCUGUGAAAAGUCUUGACAGACUGACUUGGUUAUGCAUGGCAUGUUGAAAGACGACGUCGCGUGCUGGCUCAGAGGGAUAUAUCAGUGGUGUAAGCCAGCCGCGACGUACUGAUUAACAGAACUUGUCGAGGGCAUUGGUAUUUGCGAGGCGAGAGGUGAAAUUCUAUGACCCCCGCAAGACCUCCUGAAGCGAAAGCGUCCUGCCAAGGAUGUUUUCAUUAAUCAUGAACGAAAGUUAGAGGAUCGAAGGCGAUCAGAUACCGCCCUAGUUCUAACCCUAAACGAUGCCAACCAUCAAUCCGCGCGUAGUACCCUUCUUAACGGACUCGGCGGGCAGCUCCCCACUCACGGGAAACCAGAGUCUCUGGGUUCCGGGGGGAGUCUGGUUGCAAAGCUGAAACUUAAAGGAAUUGACGGAAAGGCACCACCAGGCGUGGAGCUGCGGCUUAAUUUGACUCAACACGGGCCACCUCACCAGGCCAGCACUCUUGUAUGAUUGACAGAUCGAGAGCUCUUUCUCGAUUCAGUGGAUGGUGGUGCAUGGCCGUUCUUAGUUGGUGGAGUGAUCUGUCUGGUUAAUUCCGAUAACGAACGAGACUCUCCCCUGCUAACUAGUCGGUUGGAUUUUGAUCGGUGAGUUGUGUACCGGGACAACCUAGUGUUUCUGGAGUUUGUUGGGCGGUUCAUGGGUUCGCUCGUGUUCCGUUCCUCUGCUUCGGUCUCUAGACCUCGGACCACACACUCCAAAUCCGCCGCUUAUGCUAUGACUCUUCUUAGAGGGAUUCACGGUACUGAAGCCGUCAGAGACUGAGAGCAAUAACAGGUCUGUGAUGCCCUUAGAUGCUCUGGGCCGCACGCGCGCUACAAUGCCGGGCACAGCAGGUAGUUUUCCUUCUCCGACAGGAGCGGGUAACCCUGUGAAAGCCCUUGCUUUAAUGUCUUUGACAUGAUUGGCGUGCUUGGGCCUGGGGCUUGCAAUUCUUUCCCACAAACGAGGAAUGCCUAGUAGCGGCGGGUCACUGAGCCCGCCGUGAUUCAGUCCCUGCCCUUUGUACACACCGCCCGUCGCUACUACCGAUUGGGUGUACCAGUGAGGGCCUUGACUGGCGUCCGUUGCCUUCUUGGGCAAGCGGGUCCGACGGGAAGAGGUCCGAACUGGUGCACUUAGAGGAAGUAAAAGUCGUAACAAGGUUUCCGUAGGUGAACUGCGGAAGGAUCAUUA
rnacentral:rRNA from 1 species